rnacentral:rRNA from 1 species
CCUACGGGGGGCAGCAGUGGGGAAUAUUGGGCAAUGGGCGCAAGCCUGACCCAGCAACGCCGCGUGAAGGAAGAAGGCUCUCGGGUUGUAAACUUCUUUUCUCAGGGACGAAGCAAGUGACGGUACCUGAGGAAUAAGCCACGGCUAACUACGUGCCAGCAGCCGCGGUAAUACGUAGGUGGCAAGCGUUAUCCGGAUUUACUGGGUGUAAAGGGCGUGUAGGGGGGGACGCAAGUCAGAUGUGAAAACCACGGGCUCAACCUGUGGCCGGCAUUUGAAACUGUGUUUCUUGGGUACUGGGGAGGCAGACGGAAGUCCGGGUGUAGCGGUGAAAUGCGUAGAUAUUAGGAAGAACACCAGUGGCGAGGGCGGAUUACUGGACGAUAACUGACGGUGGGGCGCGAAAGGGUGGGAGCAAACAGGAUUAGAUACCCGAGUAGUC